rnacentral:rRNA from 1 species
UUGGAGGGCAAGUCUGGUGCCAGCAGCCGCGGUAAUUCCAGCUCCAAUAGCGUAUAUUAAAGUUGUUGCAGUUAAAAAGCUCGUAGUUGAACUUCGGAAUUUAUUCAUUGGUCAGGCUUAACUGUCUGUACUGGUGUGAUGAAUUCCUACCUUCUGAGGAAUCUCCAUGUCAUUCACUUGGUGUGGUGGGGAAUCAGGACUGUUACUUUGAAAAAAUUAGAGUGUUUAAAGCAGGCUAACGUCUGAAUACAUUAGCAUGGAAUAAUAAAAUAGGACGGCUUGGUUCUAUUUUGUUGGUUUCUAGGAUCACCGUAAUGAUUAAUAGGGAUAGUUGGGGGCAUUAGUAUUCAAUUGUCAGAGGUGAAAUUCUUGGAUUUAUUGAAGACUAACUACUGCGAAAGCAUUUGCCAAGGAUGUUUUCAUUAAUCAAGAACGAAAGUUAGGGGAUCGAAGACGAUCAGAUACCGUCGUAGUCUUAACCAUAAACUAUGCCGACUAGGGAUCGGAUGAUGUUAAUUUUUUAAUGACUCAUUCGGCGCCUUACGGGAAACCAAAGUGUUUGGGUUC